UCUUCCGUAGUAUAGUGGUCAGUAUGUGAGCUUGUCAAUCCAAGAUAACGCUCGAGACCCGGGUUCAAUUCCCGGCGGGAGAG